UAGAGUUUGAUCCUGGCUCAGGACGAACGCUGGCGGCGUGCUUAACACAUGCAAGUCGAACGAUGAAGCCUUUCGGGGUGGAUUAGUGGCGAACGGGUGAGUAACACGUGGGCAAUCUGCCCUUCACUCUGGGACAAGCCCUGGAAACGGGGUCUAAUACCGGAUAAUACCUGCUUCCUCAUGGGAGUGGGUUGAAAGCUCCGGCGGUGAAGGAUGAGCCCGCGGCCUAUCAGCUUGUUGGUGGGGUAAUGGCCUACCAAGGCGACGACGGGUAGCCGGCCUGAGAGGGCGACCGGCCACACUGGGACUGAGACACGGCCCAGACUCCUACGGGAGGCAGCAGUGGGGAAUAUUGCACAAUGGGCGAAAGCCUGAUGCA
rnacentral:rRNA from 1 species